rnacentral:rRNA from 1 species
GGUAGGGUAAAAGCCUACCAAGGCAUCGAUCAGUAGCUGGUCUGAGAGGACGACCAGCCACACUGGAACUGAGACACGGUCCAGACUCUACGGGAGGCAGCAGUGGGGAAUUUUGGACAAUGGGCGCAAGCCUGAUCCAGCAAUGCCGCGUGAGUGAAGAAGGCCUUCGGGUUGUAAAGCUCUUUUGUCAGGGAAGAAACGAUAUCCUCUAAUACAGAGGGCUAAUGACGGUACCUGAAGAAUAAGCACCGGCUAACUACGUGCCAGCAGCCGCGGUAAUACGUAGGGUGCAAGCGUUAAUCGGAAUUACUGGGCGUAAAGCGUGCGCAGGCGGUUUUGUAAGACUGUCGUGAAAUCCCCGGGCUCAACCUGGGAAUGGCGAUGGUGACUGCAAGGCUAGAGUUUGGCAGAGGGGGGUAGAAUUCCACGUGUAGCAGUGAAAUGCGUAGAUAUGUGGAGGAACACCGAUGGCGAAGGCAGCCCCCUGGGUCAAAACUGACGCUCAUGCACGAAAGCGUGGGGAGCAAACAGGAUUAGAUACCCUGGAGUCCACGCCCUAAACGAUGUCUACUAGUUGUCGG